CCAAAACACAUUCCAAUUUUACAAACCUGAUCCCAACUCACUGAUCACUUCUAAUUAUGGGCGGAAUUACCAGAACGACCCAUUUACAGUUAGAGUCACCAUAAGCAAAACUCUUUCUUAAUUAACCAAUGCAACCUACGUUAAAUGACAAUUUUUAGCAUGCGAGUUCAAGAUAACAGUGAUAUGAGCAUCAACUAGGCAUGAAGAUUAAUGAAAGAAACAUCACAUUCGGAGAAGCAAAACUUCAUUCAUUAACAUAUAAAUGCACAAGACGUCAAUGAAAGGAACAUCAUAUUCAGAGAAGCAAAACUUCAUUCAUUAACAUAUAAAUGCACAAGACGUCAAUUUAUAUUAACCAAGAACAAGUUAAGAAACAGACCUUAUAUAUUUUUUCCAAAUAAAAUCUGAAAUGCGACAACGGAAAACUUAAACAACGGACAACGCGACAGAACUGCGAUUCUGCUCGGAAACAUCGAACCCGACACCGACUUCUCACUCAAACUCCAUAAUCAUUUGUUUGUGUUUAUCUUUGAAAUUGUGAAGAGGAGCAGCAGUAAAGUUUGAAGAUCAAAAAACUGUCCCCUCUCUGUCGUCUUGAUGUGGACAUGAGGGUGUGUGAUGACGAAGGGAGGCGACUGGUCUCCGGCGAGCUCGACUGGUUUUUCCGGCGAGGCAGUAACAGAGAAAAGGAAUAGGGGGAACGGAGAGGGAGAGAGAAGGGAAUGAACGUGAGGGACUGGGGCGUGGCCGGUGUGGUUGUGUGUUGAAAAAUAGGGCAGUUUCUAGCGGCGUCUGUUGGUUGGUCUAGGGUUUAGUUGCUAGCUUUUUCCGGCGAGAAUGGUAGGGAUCGGGCUUAGGCGGCUAGGGUUUUUUGUAAUGUUUGUCUCAUGUACUCCUAUCCAUGGCUGCCCUUGUCUAUUAAGGUUCUAAGGUCUAGGAUUUUCUUUUGUAGUCUUGUUAAAGAAGAAAGUGGGUAAGGAAGAAAGGAUAAUGGGUUGGGUCUCCUUGGGCCUUCAAAUUGGG
rnacentral:lncRNA from 1 species